rnacentral:rRNA from 1 species
GACGAACGCUGGCGGCGUGCUUAACACAUGCAAGUCGAGCGGUAAGGCCCUUUCGGGGGUACACGAGCGGCGAACGGGUGAGUAACACGUGGGUGACCUGCCCUCAGCUCUGGGAUAAGCCUGGGAAACCGGGUCUAAUACUGGAUAUGACCUCGUAUCGCAUGGUGCGGGGUGGAAAGUGUCAGCGGCUGAGGAUGGGCCCCGCUGCCUAUCAGCUUGUUGGGUGGGGGGUGGCCUACCAAGGCGACGACGGGUAGCCGGCCUGAGAGGGCGACCGGCCACACUGGG